rnacentral:tRNA from 1 species
GCAGGUGCUGGAUAGUGAGGUGUGGCAGCUCGAUGCUGCAGGCAUCGACCAGCGCUUCGUGGAUGUCCUGGUUGAUGGUCUCGAUCCGCUUGCG